rnacentral:rRNA from 1 species
UACGUAGGGGGCGAGCGUUGUCCGGAAUUAUUGGGCGUAAAGCGCGCGCAGGCGGCGAUUUAAGUUCGGUGUUUAAGCUCGGGGCUCAACCCCGGAUCGCAUCGAAAACUGGAUGGCUUGAGUGCAGGAGAGGGAAGCGGAAUUCCACGUGUAGCGGUGAAAUGCGUAGAGAUGUGGAGGAACACCAGUGGCGAAGGCGGCUUCCUGGCCUGUAACUGACGCUGAGGCGCGAAAGCGUGGGGAGCAAACAGGAUUAGAUACCCUGGUAGUCCACGCCGUAAACGAUGAGUGCUAGGUGUCGGGGGUUUCGACACCCGCGGUGCCGAAGUUAACACAGUAAGCACUCCGCCUGGGGAGUACGGUCGCAAGACUGAA